rnacentral:rRNA from 1 species
GGGGAAUUUUGGACAAUGGGCGAAAGCCUGAUCCAGCAAUGCCGCGUGCAGGAUGAAGGCCUUCGGGUUGUAAACUGCUGUUGUACGGAACGAAAAAGCGUCUCCUAAGACGAGAGGCCCAUGACGGUACCGUAAGAAUAAGCACCGGCUAACUACGUGCCAGCAGCCGCGGUAAUACGUAGGGUGCGAGCGUUAUCCGGAAUUACUGGGCGUAAAGGGUGCGUAGGCGGUUUAUCAAGUCAGGGGUGAAAGGCUACGGCUCAACCGUAGUGAGCCUCUGAAACUGGUGAACUUGAGUGUAGGAGAGGAAAGUGGAAUUCCCAGUGUAGCGGUGAAAUGCGUAGAUAUUGGGAGGAACACCAGUGGCGAAGGCGACUUUCUGGACUACAACUGACGCUGAGGCACGAAAGCGUGGGGAGCAAACA